rnacentral:rRNA from 1 species
GAAUUGCAGAAUUCAGUGGAAUCAUCGAAUCUUUGAACGCAUCUUGCGCUCCUUGGUAUUCCGAGGAGCAUGCCUGUUUGAGUGUC